rnacentral:rRNA from 1 species
GUAUUAAAGGGGAAGCGUGGCCAGUGAACUAGUUAACGGACGCGGUAUCAGCACCGUGCAAAGGUAGCAUAAUCAUUUGUCUAUUAAUUGUAGACAGGUAAGAAAGGCAAAAUGAGAGCCCAACUGUAUAUUAUAACAAAUCAGAAGACCGAUUKGAGAGUACAAAAUAUAGAAUAUCAACAUAAGACCAGAAGACCCUGUGAAGCUUUAACAAACCUAUUAAACMUAAUAAUAACUACUUUCGGUUGGGGAAUAAUUGGAACAAAAAAGAACUUCCAAUAUAUGACUUCCUCAUAAAAUAGGCAAACAAGCCAAUAUUAGACCCAGCAUAGCUGAUAAUUGAAAUAAGUUACUCCAGGGAUAACAGCGCCAUCUUUAUUAAGAGCCCAUAUCAAAAAGAAGGGUACGACCUUGAUGUGGGAUCAGGACAUAUCCACUAAGGCAGCCGGAUAAAAGGUUGUUGGCACGUACCUUA